rnacentral:rRNA from 1 species
AAUGAACGUUGGCGGCGUGGAUUAGGCAUGCAAGUCGAACGCCCCGCAAGGGGAGUGGCGCAAGGGUGAGUAAGGCGACGGUAACCAACCCCGUGAUUGGGCCUAGCCGAGGGAAACCUCGGGUAAUUCCCAGCGAUGUUGUCGGGUGGCAUCACCGGGCAACCAAAGAUCCGUCGUCGCGGGACGGGCCGUCGUGGUAUUAGCUUGUUGGUGAGGUAACGGCUCACCAAGGCGGCGAUGCCUACCGGGUGUGCGAGCACGACCCGGCACACUGGGACUGAGACACUGCCCAGACUCCUACGGGAGGCUGCAGUCGAGAAUCUUCGGCAAUGGGCUCACGCCUGACCGAGCGACGCCGCGUGGAGGAUGAAGGCCUUCGGGUUGUAAACUCCUGUCGAGGGGGAGGAAGCUUCGGUUGACCGAUCCCUGGAGGAAGGACGGGCUAAGUUCGUGCCAGCAGCCGCCGUAAUAC